rnacentral:sRNA from 1 species
GUAGUCGACGAUCUGCCGGUGGAAACGCUGGUCUACGCGGUUGAUCGGAACGCCCGGCACCGCAUACCCGUGGUCCUCAACAGGGCCAUAAUUGCUGGAGAAUAUCUGGUUCGUCGCCACUUUCUCGCCCUCGGGAGAGGAGCCGGCCGUGGUCGUGGUCUGUGAGCAGCCGGCGAGGGCA